rnacentral:lncRNA from 1 species
AAUUUUCGCCUUCAUUGCAGUCUCUAACUAGUUACCAAAAUUGCAACAUUUGUCUUGCCUUCAUCGUAGACUUCACCGUGUUGGGUUGGAAUGGGUCAAUUUAGUCACACAUUACUUAAAUAUAUGGCGUGUAUUGCGUUUAUAAAUGGGGGUAAUCCUCACCCUACAAGUCAAUUUUGUAGGGAUGAGUUAGGCCUAACCACAGUUUCUUGAGAUGGUGUCAG